rnacentral:lncRNA from 1 species
AACAUUUGAUGUAAAUAAUAACAAAAUAAAGUCUCAAAGUUUGUAUGUAACGAACAUAUUGCAUAACAAGAGUGCACUUAAGUUACCAAGUCAGGAAUAUGACCGUAGUUAUUCGUUCGUUUUUAUGUUUGAGCUUUAGAUUUUGCCAUUUAAUUAGGGACUUUACUCGGAGUUCAUUAUUCUUGUUAUUUUACUUUGAAAAAGUAUUUUAAAUAUACUUUUAUAAACAAUUAUAUUGUAAGAAUGCCCUGGAGUGCCAUGCCAAAAAAUAACUAACGUGUGCGCGCAAAUUGUAAUUUUGUUUUGCAUGGCACUCACGGGCUACCAUACAUUUAUGUACAUGAUUCCUGAAGCGUUGUAUAAAACGAAAUUCCUAACGUCAAUAUUUUCUUUGUGCAUUGUUGUGUGUUUGUCUAUUCUACAUUGUCCAUAUGUGAAGCGGUUGGGUUAAUCACAAAUUAUUGUUCACCCUGCCGCAUUAAUGCGCAUUUCCCAUUACAAGAAAAAAUAGUUUUCAUGAAAGAAUUAUAUUAUCCUAAAAA